rnacentral:rRNA from 1 species
AGCAGCCGCGGUAAUUCCAGCUCCAAUAGCGUAUAUUAAAGUUGUUGCAGUUAAAAAGCUCGUAGUUGAAUUUCGGGGUCAGUAGGCUGGUCAUGCCACUGGUAUGUACUGGUCUUACUGAUUCCUCCUUCCUGACGAACCGUAAUGCCAUUAAUUUGGUGUUGCGGGGAAUUUGGACUGUUACUUUGAAAAAAAUUAGAGUGUUUAAAGCAGGCUAACGCUUGAAUACAUUAGCAUGGAAUAAUGAAAUAGGACGUUUGAUUCUAUUUUGUUGGUUUCUAGGAUCGACGUAAUGAUUAAUAGGGAUAGUUGGGGGCAUUAGUAUUCAAUUGUCAGAGGUGAAAUUCUUGGAUUUAUUGAAGACUAACUACUGCGAAAGCAUUUGCCAAGGAUGUUUUCAUUAAUCAAGAACGAAAGUUAGGGGAUCGAAGACGAUCAGAUACCGUCGUAGUCUUAACCAUAAACUAUGCCGACUAGGGAUCGGAUGAUGUUAAUUUUUAAUGACUCAUUCGGCGCCUUA